GAACUAAGUGUUGGAGUGAAAUUCAGUGCUGAAGUUAACGCAUUAAGUUCUCCGCCUGGGUAGUACGGUCGCAAGACUGAAACUCAAAGGAAUUGACGGGAACCCGCACAAGCGGUGGAGUAUGUUGCUUAAUUCGAAGAUACACGAAGAACCUUACCAGGUUUUGACAUACCAUUGACAGGGUUAGAGAUAAUCCGUUCUUUCGGGACAAUGGAUACAGGUGGUGCAUGGUUGUCGUCAGCUCGUGCCGUGAGGUGUUGGGUUAAGUCCCGCAACGAGCGCAACCCCUAUUGCUAGUUACUAACAAGAGAGAUGAGGACUCUAGUGAGACUGCCAGCGACAAGCUGGAGGAAGGUGGGGAUGACGUCAAAUCAUCAUGCCCUUUAUGACCUGGGCUGCAAACGUACUACAAUGGCCACUACAGAGAGAAGCGAAGGGGCGACCUGGAGCGAACCUCAUAAAAGUGGUCUCAGUUCGGAUUGAAGUCUGCAACUCGACUUCAUGAAGGCGGAAUCGCUAGUAAUCGCGAGUCAGCAGAUCGCGGUGAAUACGUUCCCGGGUUUUGUACACACCGCCCGUCAAACCACGAGAGUUUGUAACACCCGAAGCCGGUGGCCUAACCGCAAGGGAGGAGCCGUCUAAGGUGGGACAGAUGAUUGGGGUUAAGUCGUAACAAGGUAUCCCUACGGGAACGUGGGGAUGGAUCACCUCCUUU
rnacentral:rRNA from 1 species